rnacentral:rRNA from 1 species
UACAGAGGGUGCAAGCGUUGUUCGGAAUUAUUGGGCGUAAAGCGCGUGUAGGCGGCUUUGCAAGUCGGGUGUGAAAGCCCUCAGCUCAACUGAGGAAGUGCGCCCGAAACUGCAGAGCUUGAGUGCCGGAGAGGGUGGCGGAAUUCCCCAAGUAGAGGUGAAAUUCGUAGAUAUGGGGAGGAACGCCGGUGGCGAAGGCGGCCACCUGGACGGUAACUGACGCUGAGACGCGAAAGCGUGGGGAGCAAACGGG